UAAAAAGACUGUGUCUUGAAAGGAGAUCAUUGUGUCCCCAGCAGAAGCAGGGGGUCAGAGAAGACUAGAUCACCACACACACAACAGCUAGUUGACGGUGUAGAGCACCUUUAGUCAAUCCUCUUUCCUCUUCCGUGUUGCCCCGUACUCCUUCCUUCAUAGUUGUCCUCUGUUUUAUCUCAAAUAAAUGAAAGUCCCCUUCUUUCAUAUGGUUUAUGGAAAUAUUAAAAAUAUUUAAAGGGCUCACGAUUACAUCAUGCUGGUUGUUCUUCAAUACUGGUCAGACUCCAUUAGUCUCUUAUCCAGGAGCCAUUGCUAUCCUGGUCUCUGACUGAAGGUAUCUGAGAAGAUCAUUGUCAUUCCAUAGCCUAGGUUCAGAAGAAACCCCACAAAGUCUGAAGCAGGUGAAGCAACAUAGCAUCUAUCUAUCUGUGCAUUCAUUCAUUCAUUCAUUCAUUCAUUGAACAAAACCUUAUCUAACACCUGUGUGACUCAGAACGCUCAGUGUUUGUGGUGACACUAAACAGAAGACUGAGCGCCAACCAGGGCAGGUAGGGAAGAUACCAAUGUGCUCAGGCGGGAAGGGCAGAGUGGAACUGGGAACUGACAAUUCAGCAAUGGGAAGAGAUCCUCAGGUGAAGAGAGAUGGAAAAAGCACGGAAAGGCCUUGGGGGCAGGGGAGCUGCAGAGAGAAAGAGGAAAAGGGUCCUGAAAAGAAGGGUAAAGAAACCAGGCCCUUGUUAUACCAGCAAUCUUUCCAUGUCUGACUGAAAAAGAAAGUCCAGGCCUUCACGGGGCAAAACUAGAAACAUCUAACAAGAGUCUGCAGAUUCAGAGGAGACACAAGUCGAUGCUAGGUUAUGUAAUAAACGACUCUAUUCAAACUGUUUCAAGUUCUUCCUAAACUGUCCCUUUCUGAGUUUACUGGGACAUACCUUUUGCUUCAUUGUUGUCUCCAAAUUCUAAAUAUCCAUUUCCAUUCUCAAUUCAAUUGUCUCUAAAAAGUGAGGGUUUUCCCCCCCCAGUGAGAAAAAAUAUAUACAAACAACUUUGUGUUGGUUACUUUUCUAUGGCUGUAGUAAAAUACCCCAACCAAAAGCAACUCAAAGAGCAAGGGUUUUUUUUUUUUCAGCUUAUGAUUCCAGGUGGCUAAGUCCAUUAAUGGAGGAGAAGAUGGGGAGGCAUGACAGAAAGUGGGAAAAGCAGGGUGGCCAGAACAGGAACCCUAAAAGCCCACCCACAGAGACGUACUUCCUCCUGCAAGGUUGAGCUUUCUCAAUAUCCCAUAACUUUCCCUAAUAGCAUCCACACUGCGGACCAAGUAUCCAAAUGCAUGGGCCUGUGGGGACAUUGCUCAUUCAAAUCACCACUAACUUUAGUUUUGCAUUUUAAAGACAAUGCUAAGCACUGAACCUAUUUGAUACAUUAUUUUUUAAGUUCCAGGGUAAGUUUGGCAACACCAAAAGAAAUUAUUGUGAAGUUUCUAAACCUUGAAGGAUUUUAUAUAGAAAGAUUGACAACACUGUAAGUUUUUCACUGAAAUUUUAAAAACUAUUUUAAAAUAGUGUACAAUGAAGAAUUAAAAAACAUAUUAUAAAUUAAAAUAAGACCAAAUGAUGAAUUUAACCUUUAAAGACUAGUGAACUAAUUAAUGAUUAAACACACAAGCUCAACCUACAGCUGCUCCGGCAGCCUUAGAGAAAACCCGGGAAGCAGACCUUAGAGCAGUGGUUCUCAGCCUUCCUAAUGCUGUGACCCUUUAACACAGUUCUUCAUGUUAUCAUGACCCCCGGCCACAAAAUUAUUACUUUGCUACUUCAAAACUGUAAUUUUGCUACUGUUAUGAAUCAGGAUGUAAAUGUCUGAAAUGCAGGACAUCUGAUAUGCAACCCCUAUGAAAGGGUCCACAGGUUGAGAACUCCUGCCCUAGAGGACCUGUCCUGACAAACCUCAAGUAUGGGGAAUACACCAGAAGCUGAGAAAUGGAAAGGGCAUCUUUGAGGUUUGGGUGCAGUGCAAAAUGGCACCACUUUACAUAGCAGGCACAGUGGGGGGCUGGAGUGUUCUCAUUCUCUCAGCUUCCAUCCUCCGAGCCCAGAGACAGGAAGGCUUGGGUUCCUCAAGGUCAGCUCUCCCCACAUUGUCCACACAGCGUCAGAAGCCUCUCUUUCCCUGGAAGAAUAGAGAGACUUCAGCCCCAGAGCUGUGCCCACACCACACUUGUCCUCUCCUGGUGGCCCUCCCCCGGCUGUGUUUUCAGACUUACUGCUAAAUCCUUCUUGACUCUGGGACACAACGGGAAUUGUUUUUCUUCAAGAUGGGAGAUUUUCUAGAAAAAAAAUUAAUUUCUGAGAUUUUUUUAAUUUGUUUUUUUUUGUCUUGUUUUGUUGUUUGUUGUUUUGUUUUGGUUUGGUUUGGUUUUACUGUUCUUGAGAGAGUUAUAAAUAGCAAGACAAAGUUGCCGCGAGGUGCUUCAUGGGAAGAAGAGGAAACUGAAGCAAACAUAAACUUUUAGACACACAAAUGUCAGUGAAAUUAAACUACUUUGAGCUUUCUAUAAUUCAGUGUUUAUAGGAAUAAAUUAACUGGUGAGCCUAAGACUGUUGCUUUCACAAGACCUUUCGAGCCUUUCAAACUAUGAUAAAAAAUAGGAUAUGCUUUGCCAGUGAAGUGGCUCACAGGCUGACGACUUAAGUUUGGUCUCAAGGUCUCAAAUGGCAGAUGGAGAGAUCAGUCCCCUUCAAAUUAUCCUUGUGUUAUGACAUGAGUGUGUAUGUAUAUAUGGUAUAUAUAAAGAAACUGGCACAGAAAAUUUACUUGUAUCUAG
rnacentral:lncRNA from 1 species